GGAGAGGUGGCAGAGUGGUUGAUUGUACCUGACUCGAAAUCAGGCGUACCGGUAACGGUACCGAGGGUUCAAAUCCCUCCCUCUCCGCCA
rnacentral:tRNA from 1 species